CCUACGGGGGGCAGCAGUGGGGAAUAUUGGGCAAUGGGCGCAAGCCUGAUCCAGCCAUGCCGCGUGUCUGAAGAAGGCCUUCGGGUUGUAAAGGACUUUUGUCAGGGAAGAAAAGGCUGUUGCUAAUAUCAAUAGCUGAUGACGGUACCUGAAGAAUAAGCACCGGCUAACUACGUGCCAGCAGCCGCGGUAAUACGUAGGGUGCGAGCGUUAAUCGGAAUUACUGGGCGUAAAGCGAGCGCAGACGGUGACUUAAGCAGGAUGUGAAAUCCCCGGGCUCAACCUGGGAACUGCGUUCUGAACUG
rnacentral:rRNA from 1 species